rnacentral:rRNA from 1 species
CAGUCGCCGCGGUAAUACGAAGGGUGCAAGCGUUAAUCGGAAUUACUGGGCGUAAAGCGCGCGUAGGUGGUUCAUUAAGUUGGAUGUGAAAGCCCUGGGCUCAACCUGGGAACUGCAUCCAAAACCGGUGAGCUAGAGUACGGUAGAGGGUAGUGGAAUUUCCUGUGUAGCGGUGAAAUGCGUAGAUAUAGGAAGGAACACCAGUGGCGAAGGCGACUACCUGGACUGAUACUGACACUGAGGUGCGAAAGCGUGGGGAGCAAACAGGAUUAGAUACCCCGGUAGUCCCUGUCUCUUAUAC